AAAUAAUCUAUUAUCAGAAAGAGUUGCAUCAGCAAAAGGAAAUGCUGGCGGAAAUGCGCAGAAAUGGGACGUGGCCUCCUAAAGAAGAUGAACAAGAUCAUUAAUAAAGUCGCAAACAUGUUUCUGAGUUUUUUUCCUAUUGAAAUUAGCUUCACCAGCAAUCCAAAAUUUCCGUUAUAGCCACCAAACUGUGACAAAACUGUCUUAGUUCCCUUCCAGCAGUGCUCGGUUCCAGACGUAUAAAUUCGCCCAUUGUACCCAAAUCAGUCGAGAUGAAGUCCAUCCUCUUACUUGUACUGCUCGGUGCAAUUGUGUCCAUUUCUGUUGCGAAACCAUGCUCCAUCAAGAUUCUCAAAUGUCUCGAUACGCCUCUCUACAGUGACGAUGGACAAAAACCACUGGGAGUUUGGAUAGUUGGGCCGAAAAAGGGUGAGGUUAUCUACGACCUGGAUGAGGUUGAGCAACAAAGAGAUCUGCUGGCUGAAAUUCGACGCAAUGGUGCGCUUGUUGGUGAAUUGUCAUAAUUGAAAUAGUUCGUUGCUGGAUUUCAAUAAACAAUGUGAUAAUUGACAAA